rnacentral:rRNA from 1 species
GUCUGUUCUUGCGCGUAGGGCGUCGUGACAAGGUGCUAUGUUCCUUUGACGUUAGCGGCGGACGGGUGAGUAACACGUGGGUAACCUACCUAUAAGACUGGGAUAACUUCGGGAAACCGGAGCUAAUACCGGAUAAUAUUUCGAACCGCAUGGUUCGAUAGUGAAAGAUGGUUUUGCUAUCACUUAUAGAUGGACCCGCGCCGUAUUAGCUAGUUGGUAAGGUAACGGCUUACCAAGGCGACGAUACGUAGCCGACCUGAGAGGGUGAUCGGCCACACUGGAACUGAGACACGGUCCAGACUCCUACGGGAGGCAGCAGUAGGGAAUCUUCCGCAAUGGGCGAAAGCCUGACGGAGCAACGCCGCGUGAGUGAUGAAGGUCUUCGGAUCGUAAAACUCUGUUAUUAGGGAAGAACAUACGUGUAAGUAACUAUGCACGUCUUGACGGUACCUAAUCAGAAAGCCACGGCUAACUACGUGCCAGCAGCCGCGGUAAUACGUAGGUGGCAAGCGUUAUCCGGAAUUAUUGGGCGUAAAGCGCGCGUAGGCGGUUUUUUAAGUCUGAUGUGAAAGCCCACGGCUCAACCGUGGAGGGUCAUUGGAAACUGGAAAACUUGAGUGCAGAAGAGGAAAGUGGAAUUCCAUGUGUAGCGGUGAAAUGCGCAGAGAUAUGGAGGAACACCAGUGGCGAAGGCGACUUUCUGGUCUGUAACUGACGCUGAUGUGCGAAAGCGUGGGGAUCAAACAGGAUUAGAUACCCUGGUAGUCCACGCCGUAACGAUGAGUGCUAAGUGUUAGGGGUUUCCGCCCCUUAGUGCUGCAGCUAACGCAUUAAGCACUCCGCCUGGGGAGUACGACCGCAAGGUGAAACUCAAAGGAAUGACGGGGACCCG